rnacentral:rRNA from 1 species
GCCCUAUCAGCUAGCCCCCCUCCAAAAGAGCAAAAAUCAUUAUUGAUACCCCCAAAGCUACUAGUCACAACUAAACAAAACAUUUUUCCACCAGAGUAUAGGAGAUAGAAAAGGACACAACGGCGCUAUACAAAAAGUACCGCAAGGAAAAGCUGAAAGAGAGAUGAAAAAGCUCAGUAAAGGACCAUAAAGCAGAGCUUAGCCCUCGUACCUUUUGCAUAAUGACUUAGUCAGCACCUGCCAAGCAAAGCGCCCUAUAUGUUUGAGCCCCCGAAACUGGCGCGAGCUACUCCAAGACAGCCUACUAUAGGGCACACCCGUCUCUGUGGCAAAAGAGUGGAAAGAGCUUCGAGUAGCGGUGAUAAACCUAUCGAGCCCAGUUAUAGCUGGUUGCCUGGGAAUUGAAUAGAAGUUCUACCUUUUGACUUUUUUAACCCACCAGGGCAUAACCGCCCCCUCACCGAACAAGAGGAUGUCAAAAGAGCUAUUCAAGAGAGGGACAGCUCUCUUGAAAAAAGACACAACUUUUACGCAGGCUAAAGAUCAAAAAAUGCAAAGAUUCAUGUCAGGGUGGGCCUAAAAGCAGCCAUCCCCUAAAAAAAGCGUUAAAGCUUAGGCAUUACUGCACCACUAAUAACGAUAAUAACUCUAAAGCCCCCCCCCACCCACCAGGCCCUCCCUUGCACCCACGGGAGAGACACUGCUAAUAUGAGUAAUAAGAGAGCCUGGCCUCUCUCCAUGCAGAAGUGUACAUCAGAACGGACCCCCGCUGAAAAUUAACGCUCCCCAUAAAAGAGGGCACUGGAUGAAACUAGCUCAAACUAGAAAACCCCCCAGUCACCAGCGUUGCCCCAACACAGGACUGCUUUAUGGAAAGACAAAAGGGGAAAGAAGGAACUCGGCAAACAUCUAGCCUCGCCUGUUUACCAAAAACAUCGCCUCUUGCCCCAACAGUAUAAGAGGUCCCGCCUGCCCUGUGACAAAAGUUUAACGGCCGCGGUAUUUUGACCGUGCGAAGGUAGCGUAAUCACUUGUCUUUUAAAUGAAGACCUGUAUGAAUGGCAUAACGAGGGCUACACUGUCUCCUUUCCCCAGUCAAUGAAAUUGAUCUGCCCGUGCAGAAGCGGGCAUACACACACAAGACGAGAAGACCCUAUGAAGCUUUAGACAUAAAAGCAGCCCAUGUUAAAAACCCUUAACACCCGGCACAAACCUAGUGGCCCCUGCUUUUUGUCUUUGGUUGGGGUGACCACGGGGAAAAAACAAGCCCCCGCGAGGAAUGGGAUACCCUCCCCUGAGGCAAGGCCUGCAAGCCUAACCACUAAAAUUUUUAACCAGUCAGAUCCGGCAAAGCCGAUCGACGAACCUAGUUACUCUAGGGAUAACAGCGCAAUCCCCUUUUAGAGCUCACAUCGACAAGGGGGUUUACGACCUCGAUGUUGGAUCAGGGCCUCCUAAUGGUGCAGCCGCUAUUAAGGGUUC